AGAUAUUGGUUUGGCUCGUCGAAGAGAAAUUUCGAUGACACAAGGGGGUCAUUUUGACAUAAGAGGGAAAACAAUGAUGUAAAGAGAAGAAAGAAUGUUGAGAAGAUUGAGGUUGACAUAUCGUCUUUUAAGGUGUUUGACGGUGUUUUUCAAUAAGCUUGUCGACACCCAAACGUUGGUUUAAGAAAUCUAGUAAGAUCCCUUGUGUACAUUGUAUGGUUCAGGGGACUUAGUGGAAAUAGGAUAGAUAAUUG
rnacentral:lncRNA from 1 species